rnacentral:rRNA from 1 species
UACGGGGGGGGCAAGCGUUGUUCGGAAUUACUGGGCGUAAAGGGCUCGUAGGCGGCCAACUAAGUCAGACGUGAAAUCCCUCGGCUUAACCGGGGAACUGCGUCUGAUACUGGAUGGCUUGAGAUUGGGAGAGGGAUGCGGAAUUCCAGGUGUAGCGGUGAAAUGCGUAGAUAUCGUAAGGAAGACCAGUGGCGAAGGCGGGUCUCUGGACAGUUCCUGACGCUGAGGCACGAAGGUCAGGGGAGCAAACGGG